UCAAACAAACACCAUCCUCCUUCGGUCUUUGAGGAUUUGGGGCACACAAUCCACAGCUGAGCCAUGAAGAUCCUCUGCGUGCUCUUCGCUGUUCUCCUCUUCCUCUUCCAGGCUGCUCCAGCUUACAGCCAAGAAUCUGCUGACACCUUAGCAUGCCGGCAGAGCCAUGGCUCCUGCUCUUUUGUUGCAUGCCCUGCUCCUUCCGUUGACAUUGGAACCUGCCGUGAUGGGAAGCUGAAAUGCUGCAGAUGGAGACCCAGCUCCUAAAUCUGAGACCUCACUGACCAUGCGGAUAAGAGCCCUGGGAAUCUCCUGCCUAAUGACAUCACAGGAUCCUUGAACUUUGAUGCAAACCCAAGGAGCCUUUCCCAAUGGAGUGAAGAGUCCUGGGAGCACGAGAAGAUCUGAGGAGGAAUUCUUGUACCUCAGAUAGAGAUUUGCAGCUUCAUUUCUAAUAAAAACAAUUCUAAGUGAAACCACA